GACAGAGGGUGCAAACGUUGUUCGGAAUUACUGGGCGUAAAGCGCGUGUAGGCUGCCCUGCAAGUCGGAUGUGAAAGCCCUGGGCUCAACCUAGGAAGUGCACUCGAAACUGCAGGGUUGGAGUCCUGGAGAGGAAGGCGGAAUUCUCGGUGUAGAGGUGAAAUUCGUAGAUAUCGAGAGGAACACCGGUGGCGAAGGCGGCCUUCUGGACAGUGACUGACGCUGAGACGCGAAAGCGUGGGGAGCAAACAGG
rnacentral:rRNA from 1 species